GCACCUCUUACUUCCUUAUCAUAUACUGCCCCGUCGUUGUUCACGCAGUUUCGGCAUGCACUAUCGGUGGAUUGCAGCUAGUUUCGUGCCGGUCGCUGGUUAAUCCAGUUGUGUUUUGAGAGACUUAUAUCGUUUAUUCGGACAUCAAUAUUCAAAAUUUGUGUUAUACUCGCAGAUCAAUCGACUAUUUAUUUGUACUCUGCGAGUAUAGUAUAUUAUUUAAUGUACGGACAUGCCGGUUUUGAUAACGUUUCUUAUGUAUAUUACAAGUCACGUGAUAGUGGAUUUGAUAACAUUCUUCACUCGGCGUUGUGUUUAGUGUCGGUUACUAAAUUAAUCGGAUAUAUAUCGCCCUCAUUCAGAAAGAUCUAUCAGGCUCAUUUACAGCACUCAUGCCUGGCAGUCCGAUAAGCUGUACAUUGCGGGCGAACACAAUGUCGUAAGACAACAGUUUUCUCACCAAAUUCCGGCGAACGCAAUGUCCUGGGGCAACCGUUCUUGCACUAAAUUGUACGGUGCCUUGAACGGGAGUCACUUCUACCGCUACCUUCGUACAGUGCCCUAAAUGGGAAUCUUUAUGGAUCAUUUGUUGGAUCAAGAAUUGGCUAAUCCUGAGAUGUCCAAGUUUAUCAAUAAGGAGCAAGUGGAGAGGUUCCGGGGUACUGAGUGCGUAUUGAGGAUGAUGUUUCCUUUACUGAAGAUGGAUGUGUCAACUGGACUAAAAUACCAAGAACUGUCUAAGAAAUUGAAGAUUGGAUUGCCGGUGUUGAUGAUGAUUCCGAAAACGAUUGAAUGAAUUCUCAAGAAUAUCAUUUUGUUUAUUUUGUUAAAAGUUAUAAACAGAGCUUUAUAUAGUUGCAUAUUAUUAUCAUGUUUUCUUGCUUGUAUUGUUAAAAAUGUUGUAUAUAUUAAGAAAAUGAGUUUCUGAUUCUACAUGUUUGAAUAAAAUUGUAGUUUUAUAAA